AGCGUGAGUAGAAGCGGUUAGAUACCUAAACAUAAGGUGUCGGGACAUUGCUCAUAGU
rfam:Vibrio sp. EJY3 chromosome 1, complete sequence.